AUGAUGCUUUCAAGGAAAAUUGUUUCCCUCACGACAUCAACGAGAGGUGGCAAUGAUGACCUAUUGAAUUAUGGUCUCUCCGGUCUCUCCUUACAUCGACAACGUUUGAAAUGGACUGACAAAGGACCUUUGAGAGUUUGUGUUGCUAGAUCUAUUGGCUUUCCUUGGAGCUUGGUAGUCCGUGUAUCUAUCAAGGAGAGCAAUUGUCUGGCUAUUGGUGUGGUGACUUCGACAUCUUCUUCAAUGUUGUUAUGCAACAUGGUCCACCUUCUCCAACUCUCUGGACCGGUGGUAAUGGAUUGCAAGUCUGUCCUGCAUGGGCUGAUGCUCCAACCAACGUUUCUUUAG
rnacentral:rRNA from 1 species